AUUGAACGCUGGCGGCAUGCUUUACACAUGCAAGUCGAACGAGUGGCGCACGGGUGAGUAAUACAUCGGAACGUGUCCUAUCGUGGGGGAUAACUGAUCGAAAGAUCAGCUAAUACCGCAUACGAUUGGAGCGGCCGAUGCCCGAUUAGCUAGUUGGUGAGGUAAAGGCUCACCAAGGCGACGAUCGGUAGCUGGUCUGAGAGGACGACCAGCCACACUGGGACUGAGACACGGCCCAGACUCCUACGGGAGGCAGCAGUGGGGAAUUUUGGACAAUGGGGGCAACCCUGAUGCAGCCAUGCCGCGUGUAUGAAGAAGGCCUUCGGGUUGUAAAGUACUUUCAGCGAGGAGGCGUUACUCGCAGAAGAAGCACCGGCUAACUCCGUGCCAGCAGCCGCGGUAAUAC
rnacentral:rRNA from 1 species